CUAUACAUGCAGUCGAACGAACUCUGGUAUUGAUUGGUGCUUGCAUCAUGAUUUACAUUUGAGUGAGUGGCGAACUGGUGAGUAACACGUGGGAAACCUGCCCAGAAGCGGGGGAUAACACCUGGAAACAGAUGCUAAUACCGCAUAACAACUUGGACCGCAUGGUCCGAGCUUGAAAGAUGGCUUCGGCUAUCACUUUUGGAUGGUCCCGCGGCGUAUUAGCUAGAUGGUGGGGUAACGGCUCACCAUGGCAAUGAUACGUAGCCGACCUGAGAGGGUAAUCGGCCACAUUGGGACUGAGACACGGCCCAAACUCCUACGGGAGGCAGCAGUAGGGAAUCUUCCACAAUGGACGAAAGUCUGAUGGAGCAACGCCGCGUGAGUGAAGAAGGGUUUCGGCUCGUAAAACUCUGUUGUUAAAGAAGAACAUAUCUGAGAGUAACUGUUCAGGUAUUGACGGUAUUUAACCAGAAAGCCACGGCUAACUACGUGCCAGCAGCCGCGGUAAUACGUAGGUGGCAAGCGUUGUCCGGAUUUAUUGGGCGUAAAGCGAGCGCAGGCGGUUUUUUAAGUCUGAUGUGAAAGCCUUCGGCUCAACCGAAGAAGUGCAUCGGAAACUGGGAAACUUGAGUGCAGAAGAGGACAGUGGAACUCCAUGUGUAGCGGUGAAAUGCGUAGAUAUAUGGAAGAACACCAGUGGCGAAGGCGGCUGUCUGGUCUGUAACUGACGCUGAGGCUCGAAAGUAUGGGUAGCAAACAGGAUUAGAUACCCUGGUAGUCCAUACCGUAAACGAUGAAUGCUAAGUGUUGGAGGGUUUCCGCCCUUCAGUGCUGCAGCUAACGCAUUAAGCAUUCCGCCUGGGGAGUACGGCCGCAAGGCUGAAACUCAAAGGAAUUGACGGGGGCCCGCACAAGCGGUGGAGCAUGUGGUUUAAUUCGAAGCUACGCGAAGAACCUUACCAGGUCUUGACAUACUAUGCAAAUCUAAAAGAUUAGACGUUCCCUUCGGGGACAUGGAUACAGGUGGUGCAUGGUUGUCGUCAGCUCGUGUCGUGAGAUGUUGGGUUAAGUCCCGCAACGAGCG
rnacentral:rRNA from 1 species